rnacentral:lncRNA from 1 species
CUCCGCGUGAAAGCUCAUGCCAUUGUGGGCUCAACAACGGUGCCACUUCGUGCAGUCUUCCCUCCUGAGGAUGGUGUCGUGGAGCUUAGGUAUGCUAGGGCACAGCGUGGCGUUGUACCUAAUCUUUCCUGUAUUCUCUUUUGAUAACGUAUUCGUGUGUGUUCUGCGUGGUCCGUUUAUCGCAAGAUCUUUUUUGUAAGAGGGUAACCUCUUCACUUUGUAUCGUUCGACCAUGUACUAUGAUCGGUUGUUGCUUUAUAUAUAAAGCGGCACGAAAGUC